rnacentral:rRNA from 1 species
UAAGACGUAGGUGGCGAGCGUUACUCGGAUUCACUAGGCGUAAAGCGCGUGUAGGCGGAUGUCUAAGUCCGUUGUGAAAUUUCCCGGCUCAACCGGGAAGGGUCAAUGGAUACUGGGCGUCUUGAGUGGGGUAGAGGAAACCGGAAUUCCCGGUGUAGCGGUGAAAUGCGUAGAUAUCGGGAAGAACACCAGUGGCGAAAGCGGGUUUCUGGGCCUUCACUGACGCUGAGACGCGAAAGCUAGGGGAGCAAACAGGAUUAGAUACCCUGGUAGUCCUAGCCGUAAACGAUGAUAACUAGGUGUGGGAGGUAUCGACCCCUUCCGCGCCGACGCUAACGCAUUAAGUUAUCCGCCUGGGGAGUACGGUCGCAAGACUA